rnacentral:rRNA from 1 species
ACUCCUACGGGAGGCAGCAGUAGGGAAUCUUGCACAAUGGGCGAAAGCCUGAUGCAGCGACGCCGCGUGGGGGAUGAAGGCCUUCGGGUUGUAAACCCCUUUCAGUAGGGACGAAAAUGACGGUACCUACAGAAGAAGCUCCGGCCAACUACGUGCCAGCAGCCGCGGUAACACGUAGGGAGCAAGCGUUGUCCGGAUUUAUUGGGCGUAAAGAGCUCGUAGGUGGUUCGGUAAGUCGGAUGUGAAAACUCAAGGCUCAACCUUGAGACGCCAUCCGAUACUGCUGUGACUUGAGUUCGGUAGAGGAGUGUGGAAUUCCUGGUGUAGCGGUGAAAUGCGCAGAUAUCAGGAGGAACACCGACAGCGAAGGCAGCACUCUGGGCCGAUACUGACACUGAGGAGCGAAAGCAUGGGGAGCAAACAGGAUUAGAAACCCCAGUAGUCC